CUCAAGAGCAAAUAGAAGAAACAACUUGUGAUGAGCCUGUAUUAGAGAAGGAAGUAGCUGUGCAAUGUGAAUUACAAUGCCAAAAUUGUUUAAAAG